GCUGGACUUUCCAAGUCUCGGGCCGAUUUCCCCGUGUCGGGAGCCAAAGGAGCAAGGCAGCGCCAAUCGAUGAGCGAGCGCGCCAACGCCGGCCGCUGGAGGCACGGGGGCUGGAGCGCGGGGCCCAGUGGAGGAGCUCGGUCGCAGUUCGAGGCCUGGGCGCUGGCCCAGCGAGUGGGCCUGUUAGGUUACAGCAUUAUCCAUUUUGAAGUUAAGGAUUUCUAAAUUCGGCAUGGACCCUGGACACAACAUUGAACAAAAAGAGAAAAGCGAAGAACAAUGAAAAUGUAAUUAGAAUACUAUACAAGAUUUCAG
rnacentral:lncRNA from 1 species